ACCCGCUGAACUUAAGCAUAUCAAUAAGCGGAGGAAAAGAAACCAACAGGGAUUGCCCUAGUAACGGCGAGUGAAGCGGCAAGAGCUCAAAUUUGAAAUCUGGCCCCCCCGGGGUCCGAGUUGUAAUUUGCAGAGGGUGCUUCGGCGUUGGCUGUGGUCUAAGUUCCUUGGAACAGGACGUCGCAGAGGGUGAGAAUCCCGUAUGUGGCCGCCAGCCUCCGCCGUGUGAAGCCCCUUCGACGAGUCGAGUUGUUUGGGAAUGCAGCUCUAAAUGGGAGGUAAAUUUCUUCUAAAGCUAAAUACUGGCCAGAGACCGAUAGCGCACAAGUAGAGUGAUCGAAAGAUGAAAAGCACUUUGGAAAGAGAGUCAAAAAGCACGUGAAAUUGUUGAAAGGGAAGCGCUUGCAGCCAGACUUGCCUGUAGUUGCUCAUCCGGGCCCUCGCCCGGUGCACUCUUCUAUGGGCAGGCCAGCAUCAGUCCGGGCGGUCGGAGAAAUGGCCGCUAAAUGUACCUCUCCUCGGGGAGGACUUAUAGGGCGGUCGGCAUGCGACCAGCCCGGACUGAGGUCCGCGCAUCUGCUAGGAUGCUGGCGUAAUGGCUGU
rnacentral:rRNA from 1 species